AAAUUAAGGAUUUAAAUAGAUCUAUAUCGGUCGCGGUCUAUUUAUAGACAUUUUGGCUUGUGUUAGUCACACUUGUAGAAUUCAUCUCGACGAGAUUUAGCAUUAAUUCGUUGAUAACUAUAGCCUACUGCAGAGGGGUUAUUGCAGAAUUUGGACAAGAUGGUUAAGCUUGUCAUGAAGUAUGGACCUUACCAAAAGUGAAACGGUGUGGUGACCAACCUGAAGAUGGUCUCUGGCCUGUUAUCGGCUUUAGCAUCCGCAGGGUCAUAAGGUCACCACACAAAAGACUCAGAGGGAGGAGGCCUGUGAGUUAUACAUAGACUCCCAAAUGACGUGGUCGUGUAAAAUCACAGAGUUUAACAAAGGUGAAAGUGUUUCACGCAAACUGUGUGAAAAUGCAGUAAGCGCCAUUGAAGCGUCGACAGGAUCGUCCAAAUGACCGUAAUACCAUGACGUAAUAUGAUGCUGUUCACUGCUACCUUUCUACCUGGCUACUUCUCCAAUGAAGGUUCCGAUCUAAAGCAAAGACGGGUCGGAGCUUGAUGUCAUGAGAACGUAGAGAAAAAUGAAAUUAUAUAAAAGUA